GACGAACGCUGGCGGCGUGCUUAACACAUGCAAGUCGAACGGAAAGGCCCUGCUUUUGUGGGGUGCUCGAGUGGCGAACGGGUGAGUAACACGUGAGUAACCUGCCCUUGACUUUGGGAUAACUUCAGGAAACUGGGGCUAAUACCGGAUAGGAGCUCCUGCUGCAUGGUGGGGGUUGGAAAGUUUCGGCGGUUGGGGAUGGACUCGCGGCUUAUCAGCUUGUUGGUGGGGUAGUGGCUUACCAAGGCUUUGACGGGUAGCCGGCCUGAGAGGGUGACCGGCCACAUUGGGACUGAGAUACGGCCCAGACUCCUACGGGAGGCAGCAGUGGGGAAUAUUGCACAAUGGGCGGAAGCCUGAUGCAGCAACGCCGCGUGCGGGAUGACGGCCUUCGGGUUGUAAACCGCUUUCGCCUGUGACGAAGCGUGAGUGACGGUAAUGGGUAAAGAAGCACCGGCUAACUACGUGCCAGCAGCCGCGGUGAUACGUAGGGUGCGAGCGUUGUCCGGAUUUAUUGGGCGUAAAGGGCUCGUAGGUGGUUGAUCGCGUCGGAAGUGUAAUCUUGGGGCUUAACCCUGAGCGUGCUUUCGAUACGGGUUGACUUGAGGAAGGUAGGGGAGAAUGGAAUUCCUGGUGGAGCGGUGGAAUGCGCAGAUAUCAGGAGGAACACCAGUGGCGAAGGCGGUUCUCUGGGCCUUUCCUGACGCUGAGGAGCGAAAGCGUGGGGAGCGAACAGGCUUAGAUACCCUGGUAGUCCACGCUGUAAACGGUGGGUACUAGGUGUGGGGUCCACUCCACGGGUUCCGUGCCGUAGCUAACGCUUUAAGUACCCCGCCUGGGGAGUACGGCCGCAAGGCUAAAACUCAAAGGAAUUGACGGGGCCCCGCACAAGCGGCGGAGCAUGCGGAUUAAUUCGAUGCAACGCGUAGAACCUUACCUGGGUUUGACAUGGAUCGGGAGUGCUCAGAGAUGGGUGUGCCUCUUUUGGGGUCGGUUCACAGGUGGUGCAUGGCUGUCGUCAGCUCGUGUCGUGAGAUGUUGGGUUAAGUCCCGCAACGAGCGCAACCCUUGUUCACUGUUGCCAGCACGUUAUGGUGGGGACUCAGUGGAGACCGCCGGGGUCAACUCGGAGGAAGGUGGGGAUGACGUCAAGUCAUCAUGCCCCUUAUGUCCAGGGCUUCACGCAUGCUACAAUGGCUGGUACAGAGAGUGGCGAGCCUGUGAGGGUGAGCGAAUCUCGGAAAGCCGGUCUCAGUUCGGAUUGGGGUCUGCAACUCGACCUCAUGAAGUCGGAGUCGCUAGUAAUCGCAGAUCAGCAACGCUGCGGUGAAUACGUUCCCGGGGCU
rnacentral:rRNA from 1 species